rnacentral:rRNA from 1 species
AUGGCUACAAAAGUUCGCCCACCUUCUACUGACGCAGAAAAAUUGGAGGUUGGAGAAAUAGAUACAAGAGCUCCUUUUGAAUCUGUCAAAGCUGCAGUGAGCUUAUUUGGUGAAGUAAGGUUUUCAUCUGACAAAUCAGCUGCGAGAAAGCCAAAGGCUCCUCAAGCAGAGCAGAAGGUGUUAGCUAAGGAGACCGAACUUCAUUUGGCCCAGAAAGAGUUGAAUAAAUACAGGGAACAACUGAGUAAUGCUGAAACAGCCAGACUACAGUCCCUCUCCGAGUUGGAGAAAGCUAGAAAAACUGUUGAUGAGCUAACUACUAAGCUGGAUGCAAUCAAUAAAUCCAAAGAGAUGGCUAUUCAAGCCACGGAAGAUACAAAGACUCGAACCAAGCAGCUUGAAGUAGGCAGCCCGAAGGAAGCUGUUCGAAAAGAUAGUCCCUUGAAGCAGGAACUGGACAGUGCAAGGCAACAGUAUGCGGUUGCUCUGGCAGACCUCGAUGCAGCCAAACAGGAGCUGAGGAAGCUUAAGAAGGAUUUUGAAACCUCAUUAGAUAUGAGGCUGUCUGCUGCCCAGAAGGAAGAGGAGUCAUUGCACUCGAUAGAAGCCAACAAGGAAAAGGCUGCUCAACUUCGUAAUGAGGCUAAAGCAAUUCAAGAAUCGCUUAUGCACAUGAAGGCAGAUACAGAACAAUUACAUGAAGAGGAGUCGCAAGUCCUUGUUGAGAAGGAUGUUGCUAGGAAUGCAUAUAAACAGGCUUUGGAAGAAACUGAGAAGAAAUUGUCAUAUUUGAGAAAUGAAUUUGAUCCUGCUGCUUAUAAAACCCUUAAAGAAAAGCUAGAUGAGACCAACUCUGAGAUUUCAUCAAUGCAGAAAAAGAUCGAAGAUGCCCGUGCUCUAGAUUUAGAAACUGUUGCUGCUAUCACCACAGAAUUGGAUGAUGCUAAGGAAAUGUUGCAGAAAGUAGCUGAAGAGGAAAGCACACUUUGGAACUUAGUAGAAUCCCUGAAGCUGGAGUUAGCAGCUGGAAAGCAGGACCACAGUCAACUCAAAGAGAAGGAUACAGAUACUGAAUCCAUUGUUGCAGAUCUACAUGCCAAGCUUCAGAAAUGCAAAUCUGAGCUUGAGGUAGCUGUUUGUGCUGAAUCAGAAGCUGCAACAGCUUCUGAUGACUUGAUGCUAGCUCUUCAACAGCUGUCGUGUGAGUCUAAAACUGCCCUGCAGGAAGCUGAAAUGAUGCAGAAGAGUGCAGCAGAGUUAAGAAUUGAAGCUGAAGCAGCACGUGUUGCGUUAACAGAAGCCGAGGAACGGUUGCAAUCAGCUUUGAAAGAAGCAGAAGAAGCAAAAGCAGCUGAAGCGAAGGCCCUUGACCAGAUUAAGCAGCUAUCAGACAGAGCAAGUGCUGUUCAAGCUUCAACUUCUGAACCCGGAGGAAAGGUCACAAUCUCAAAAGCGGAGUUUGAAUCUCUUAGCCGUAAGGUAAAGGAGUCAGAGAAGUUGAGUGAGAUGAAAGUAGCUGCUGCCAUGGCGCAAGUGGAAGCUGUUAGAGCCAGUGAGAAUGAGGCAAUACAGAAAAUGAAAACUGCCCGGAGAGAGAUGGAGGACAUGGAAUUAGCAACAGAGGAGGCACUGAAGAGGGCGGAGACGGCUGAAGCAGCAAAGAAGGCUGUAGAAGGUGAGCUUAAGAGGUGGCGUGAAAAGGAACAGAAGAAAGCUGCAGAGUCCGUGUCUUCUGCAGAAGCGCAAGCACACGCAACCACACUUUCAUCUGUACACAAGGCUCCUGCUGGAAAACCCACCGAGAAGAAUGAUGGGCAUCAAAGGAACAACAGAACGCUGUUGAGGAAGGGCUUUGUGUUGCCAAACAUCACAGGCAUGUUUCAUAAGAAGAAGGGCCAUGCCGAUGGCAGUUCUCCAUAA